CUGGAGGUAUCAGAAGUGCGAAUGCUGACAUAAGUAACGAUAAAGCGGGUGAAAAGCCCGCUCGCCGGAAGACCAAGGGUUCCUGUCCAACGUUAAUCGGGGCAGGGUGAGUCGACCCCUAAGGCGAGGCCGAAAGGCGUAGUCGAUGGGAAACGGGUUAAUAUUCCCGUACUUGGUGUUACUGCGAAGGGGGGACGGAGAAGGCUAUGUUGGCCGGGCGACGGUUGUCCCGGUUUAAGCGUGUAGGUGUGUGUUCCAGGUAAAUCCGGUUCACUUUAACACUGAGGCGUGACGACGAGGCACUACGGUGCUGAAGCAACAAAUGCCCUGCUUCCAGGAAAAGCCUCUAAGCAUCAGGUAACAUCAAAUCGUACCCCAAACCGACACAGGUGGUCAGGUAGAGAAUACCAAGGCGCUUGAGAGAACUCGGGUGAAGGAACUAGGCAAAAUGGUGCCGUAACUUCGGGAGAAGGCACGCUGACACGUAGGUGAAGUGAU
rnacentral:rRNA from 1 species